rnacentral:rRNA from 1 species
GACGAACGCUGGUGGCGUGCCUAAUACAUGCAAGUAGGACGCAGUUGCGAACGGGUGAGUAACGCGUAGGUAACUACCUAUUAGAGGGGGAUAACUAUUGGAAACGAUAGCUAAUACCGCAUACUAGUAGAUGGACCUGCGUUGUAUUAGCUAGUAGGUAGGGUAAUGGCCUACCUAGGCAACGAUACAUAGCCGACCUGGGGAGGGUGACCGCCAAACCGGGACUGGAGCACGGCCCAGACUCCGACGGGGAGCAACAGUAGGGAAACUUCGGCAAUGGGGGGAACCCUGACCGGGCAACGCCGCGGGAAUGAAAAAGGGUUUCGGGUCGUAAAACUCUGGUGUUAAGGAAGCGGUACUUAACCAGAAAGGGACGGCUAACUACGUGCCAGCAGCCGCGGUAAUAC